rnacentral:lncRNA from 1 species
CCUCCCACUGUCUCCUUCUUGGAUAAACUCUUUUUCUAGAAAGAUUGUAUGUUUACUAACAAAUACCUUUUGUUGAGUAGGGUGGUAGAAGUAGUAUCCUAUACUCUCCUUGAAAAAAUCUAUAAACCAACAUUUAUCCGACCUAGCACUUAGCUUAUGUCCCUCAGUAUUCAUGACAUAAGUAAGGUAGCCCAAAAUCUUAAGAUACUUAAGAUUAGACUUUCUUCCUCUUCAUAUCUCAUAUAGACUACUAGGCAC